rnacentral:rRNA from 1 species
GACGAACGCUGGCGGCGUGCUUAACACAUGCAAGUCGAACGGAAAGGCCCUGCUUUUGUGGGGUGCUCGAGUGGCGAACGGGUGAGUAACACGUGAGUAACCUGCCCUUGACUUGGUGAUAACUUCAGGAAACUGGGGCUAAUACCGGAUAGGAGCUCCUGCUGCAUGGUGGGGGUUGGAAAGUUUCGGCGGUUGGGGAUGGACUCGCGGCUUAUCAGCUUGUUGGUGGGGGAGUGGCUUACCAAGGCUUUGACGGGUAGCCGGCCUGAGAGGGUGACCGGCCACAUUGGGACUGAGAUACGGCCCAGACUCCUACGGGAGGCAGCAGUGGGGAAUAUUGCACAAUGGGCGGAAGCCUGAUGCAGCAACGCCGCGUGCGGGAUGACGGCCUUCGGGUUGGAAACCGCUUUCGCCUGUGACGAAGCGUGAGUGACGGUAAUGGGUAAAGAAGCACCGGCUAACUACGUG